UGAUGAAGAACACAGUGAAAUGUGAUAAGUAAUGUGAAUCGCAGAAUUCAGUGAAUCAUCAAAUUUUUGAACGCACCUUGCACCUUUUGGUAUUCCAAAAGGUACACCUGUUUGAGUGUCAUGAAAACUAGCUCAUUAAAUAACUUUUUUAUUAAGGUUUUUUGAUGGAUGUUGAGUGUUGCUGUGAUUAUUAUUACAGCUCACUUUAAAUACAUAAGCUCAUCUUAUCAUUUGAUUUGGACUGACUUGAUGUGAUAUAUAUCAACAUCAUCAAGGAAUGUAUAAUAUACAGCCAAUCAAUUUUUGAAAAGUAGGCUACUAAACAAGAUUUCCUUUAAUGUGGAAAUAUUAUUUGUAAGACCUCAAAUCAGGUGGAAUUACCCGCUGAACUUAAGCAUAUCAAUAAGCGGAGGAAAAGAAACUAACAAGGAUUCCCC
rnacentral:rRNA from 1 species